rnacentral:rRNA from 1 species
AUGGCCUCACUGGACACCGUUAGAGGGGAUCUUGGCCUGGUUGUUUUGUACCUAAGCAAGGCUGAGGCAAGAGAUAAGAUCUGUAGGGCUAUACAAUAUGGAUCCAAGUUCUUGAGCAACGGACAGCCAGGACCUGCACAGAAUGUCGACAAAUCAACUAGUCUAGCUCGGAAAGUUUUCCGCCUGUUUAAGUUUGUUAAUGAUCUCCAAGCUCUGAUUAGUCCCCCUGCCAAAGGAACUCCACUUCCACUGAUCUUACUUGGAAAGUCGAAGAACGCGAUGCUGUCAACUUUCCUCUUUCUGGACCAAAUUGUUUGGGCUGGGAGAACAGGAGUAUACAAGAACAAGGAGCGAGCAGAGUUCCUUGGCAGGAUAGCAUUUUAUUGCUUUCUCGGAUCUAAUACCUGUACUACCAUCAUCGAGCUAGCGGAGCUUCAGCGGCUUUCCAAAUCGAUGAAGAAGUUAGAGAAGGACCUCAAGCACCAAGAGCUGCACAAGAACGAGCAGUAUCGGAUGAAGCUGCAGAAGUCCAACGAGAGGCUGCUCGCCCUCAUCAAAUCGAGCCUCGACAUAGUUGUUGCGGUGGGGCUCCUGCAACUUGCCCCGAAAAAGGUCACUCCUCGCGUCACAGGGGCCUUUGGGUUCGCUAGCUCGCUCAUCGCCUGUUACCAGUUGCUUCCAGCCCCAGCCAAAUCCAAGUGA